rnacentral:rRNA from 1 species
GAUGAACGCUAGCGGGAGGCCUAAUACAUGCAAGUCGAACGGUAAGGUCCCUUACGGGGAUACACGAGUGGCGGACGGGUGCGUAACGCGUACGAAACAUACCUUCAACAGGGAGAUACCUCCGGGAAACUGGAAAUAAUACCCCAUAGUAUUGUGACAUCGCAUGAUGUUACAAUUAAAGCUUUGGCGGUUGAAGAUUGUCGUGCGUCUGAUUAGCUAGUUGGUGAGGUAACGGCUCACCAAGGCGACGAUCAGUAGCUGGUCUGAGAGGAUGAUCAGCCACACUGGAACUGAGACACCGGUCCAGACUCCUACGGGAGGCAGCAGUAGGGAAUAUUGGACAAUGGGCGAAGCCUGAUCCAGCCAUCCCGCGUGUAGGAAUAAGGCCCUAUGGGUUGUAAAC